rnacentral:tRNA from 1 species
CGCGGGGUGGAGCAGCUUGGUAGCUCGUCGGGCUCAUAACCCGAAGGUCGUCGGUUCAAAUCCGGCUCACGCAACCA